rnacentral:rRNA from 1 species
CCUACGGGAGGCAGCAGGAGGAAUCUUGCACAAUGGGCGAAAGCCUGAUGCAGCGACGCCGCGUGAGGGACGAAGGCCUUCGGGUUGUAAACCUCUGUCAGUGGGGAAGAAGAAUGACGGUACCCACUGAGGAAGCUUCGGCUAACUACGUGCCAGCAGCCGCGGUAAU